rnacentral:lncRNA from 1 species
AUCUCAUAAAGUCGAUCGACGAAGGGUAUUUCUCAGGAAGUCAAGUACAUUCGACAAUCAAUGUUGCUUAGGUCGGUCGGGCGACACGAAAUGUACAAGGAAGAACGAGGUGAUCGAUCGACCAAUCAUCGGACAAGAUCGAAAAUCUUUCUGCAAUGAAUUUACACCAGCCCAAUGAUACUGCUCCAAGUUUAGUGUCGCAACGAACUAAAUACCUUUUGCGUGAAGGCAAAAGUCACACAACAUCAUGAUUGAUCGAUCGAUUUAGUAACAAGUCGCAGACUGAUCGACCGAUUGAUCGUGAGUGGCCGGUCAAAGAUCAAAAAUCAAUGUUGCUUCGGUCGGUCGGGCGACACGAAAUGUACAAGGAAGAACGAGGUGAUCGAUCGACCAAUCAUCGGACAAGAUCGAAAAUCUUUCUGCAAUGAAUUUACACCAGCCCAACGAUACUGCUCCAAGUUUAGUGUCGCAACGAACUGGAGACCUUUUGCGUGAAGGCAAAAGGAACACAACAUCACGAUUGAUCGAUCGAUUUAGUAACAAGUCGCAGACCGACCGACCGAUUGACCGUGAAUGGCCAGUCGAAGCAAGCCCAAUC